AUGCCUCUCUUUAAUAUCUGCUUUCCUUCCAAAGAUAAACCAAAGACCAAUGUAUGUCGUAUCUGCCCCCGUCAGCCUUUGGGACAUAAUUUUGAUGUCAACAUUGGUUUAUCACAUCAUAUUCCUCCUGACACAACUCCUUCCCUUGGAAGGAUGAGUCCAUUAGUUAUUCGCUGGCUAUCAGAAACUUUUGCAUUGCUGGAGUUGAAUGACAAGUUUUUCACUUGUGUCAGGUGAUGAAGACAAAGUGUUGAUUUUUUGUUCAGAAAUAGAGGAAAACAAUUCUGAGAUACAGUGAGAGGCUCAGAAAAAGCAAUCCAGUAUCUAAGCAAAGAGAGGGAUGUGGCUGGGAAUUGCCGGAAAAGACUGAGAAACACCUGAAUUUUAAUUCAGCACCAUCACCGAAAAUCACCAACAUCACUAUUUUGUAGAAAUAAAUAUAUAUAUAUAUAAAUAUAUAUGUAUAUAUAGUUUUGUUUUAGAAAAACAUUAGAUUUACAGAAAACUUUCAAAAAAUCCCAGGGAGAGUUCCCACAUACUUCUCUUGGCUGUGACCCUUUCUCAGACUUUCCUUUUUCAUGAUAACCUUUAAGUUUUGAGGAGAGCACUGGCUAUGUAUUUUGUAGAAUUCCCCUCAGUUGGAUUUUGUCUGAUUUUUUAAAUAAUUAGAUGAGGAUUAUGUGUUUUGGGGAGGAAAACCUCAGAGGUAAAGUCCAUUCUUAACAUUGCAUCACGGACGUCACAUCAAGGGUGCACAUCACCAUGAGUUAUCCUUGUUGAGGGUAACCUUGAUCUUCUGAUGAGCCAGUGUCUGGCAAGCUUCUCCCCUGUCAAGUUACUUUUUUCCUUUAUUUCCAUACUCUAAUCUUGGGAAUGAAGUUGCCAUAUACAGCCCAGCCUUGACAAGGGUGGGGAUGGUUUUGCUCCUGGCCUUUGAGGGCAGAAUUCGCCUAUAAACUAUUUGGAAUCCUUCUGAAUGGGAAAUUUUUUAUUCUCACAAUUUACUUAUUCAAUUGUGUGUUUAUAUUAGUAUGGACACAUGGAUAUUUGCGUUGUGGGUUAUAAUGAAAGACUACUUUAUUUUGUCACUCAAAUUGUUCCAACUCUAGCCAUUGAGAUUUAUUUUAGUUAGUUCCUCUGUUGCUUCAAUAUAACCUCACUUUACUUUUUUUUUCUUAAUUUUUGAACACUUUCUUUCAUGCCCUGCAAGAGUCCCCAGGUUCAUUCUAUAUAUCUCCUGACCUGGUCAUAUAAUCAGGCAUUUCUCCAAGGAAUCAUUGUUCAUUUUACUGGAGAAUGACAUUAGAAAGCAACCUUUGAGCACUAGGUGUGUUCAUUGUUGUCAAUAUCAUUUCUUCUUGGCCUCUCGACUGACAGCGCAUAUGAAUCUUCAUGUGUAUACUAACCUGUGCA
rnacentral:lncRNA from 1 species